AGCUUUAGGGAUCAGGAUCUGUUUUGUUGCAGAGUACAUGUGUGGACUAGAGUGGCACCAGAACUACUAGCAGCAAUGACUGAAGAAGGUAUGCAAAGGAAGCAUGGAUGAAGAUCUGUAGCAGAUACCCACAUAACUUGUAACUCACUUUGCACCUCUCACUUCUCCUGUCUGCUCUCCUGAUGGACUGAAGAGGCAUUGCCUGACCAUAUCUCUUGAGCCACUACAACUCUUCAACAUUAGUGAGAAUAGGAAGACUUUGGAGGUUAACUUUAAGGAAGCUAGGCCUUUACACUGCUCACAGAAACUUCUUGCUGCUGACAUUGAGGCCAAUGACAAAAGACCUGUUCUUUUCAAGAGAAGCAGAGCAGA